rnacentral:tRNA from 1 species
GCCUGGGUGGCUCAGUUGGUUAAGCAUCUGACUUCGGCUCAGGUCAUGAUCUCACAGUCUGUGAGUUCGAGCCCCGCGUCGGGCU